rnacentral:lncRNA from 1 species
GGAGCAGGGUAGUGUGUAUAACUAGGGAGCAGGGUAGUGUAUAUAUCUAAGGAGCAGGGUAGUGUAUAUAUCUAGGGAGCAGGGUAGUGUCUAUAACUAGGGAGCAGGGUAGUGUGUAUAACUAGGGUAGUGUAUAUAUCUAGGGAGCAGGGUAGUGUGUAUAACUAGGGUAGUGUAUAUAACUAGGGUAGUGUAUAUAUCUAGGGAGCAGGGUAGUGUAUAUCUAAGGAGCAGGGUAGUGUAUAUAACUAGGGAGCAGGGUAGUGUCUAUAACUAG